rnacentral:rRNA from 1 species
UACGGAGGGUGCAAACGUUGCUCGGAAUUAUUGGGCGUAAAGCGCACGUAGGCGGUCCAGCAAGUCGGGUGUGAAAGCCCUCGGCUUAACCGAGGAAGUGCAUUCGAAACUACUGGACUUGAAUACUGAAGAGGAUCGCGGAAUUCCCGGUGUAGAGGUGAAAUUCGUAGAUAUCGGGAGGAACACCAGUGGCGAAGGCGGCGAUCUGGGCAGAUAUUGACGCUGAGGUGCGAAAGCGUGGGGAGCAAACAGG